AACGAACGCUGGCGGCGUGGAUAAGACAUGCAAGUCGGACGGGAUUUUCCGUUGUAGCAAUACGAUGGAAAGUCCAGUGGCGAACGGGUGCUUAACACGUGGGCAACCUGCCAGGAAGUGGGGGAUAGCUCGCCGAAAGGCGAAUUAAUACCGCAUGUGAUUAGAGAGGACAUCCUUUCGAAAGUAACGUCGGGGCAACCUGACGCUUCUUGUGGGGCCCGCGGCCUAUCAGCUAGUUGGUGUGGUAAAGGCUCACCAAGGCUUUGACGGGUAGCUGGUCUGAGAGGACGACCAGCCACACUGGGACUGAGACACGGCCCAGACACCUACGGGUGGCAGCAGUCGAGAAUUUUUGACAAUGGGGGAAACCCUGAUCGAGCGACGCCGCGUGGAGGAUGAAGGUCUUCGGAUUGUAAACUCCUGUCAUUGGGGAACAAGGUGCAUACGUUAACUGCGUGAGCAUUGAUAGUACCCGAAGAGGAAGAGACGGCUAACUCUGUGCCAGCCGCCGCUGUAAAAC
rnacentral:rRNA from 1 species